UAUUUUUAAAAAAAUACAGAUUCCCUGACCCCACCCCAGACCUCUGAAUUUGAAUCUCCAGGACAGUUCUCAGGUGAAUCUUAGAACUGGCUUUGAAUACAUGAGGAAGAAGUGUGGGAGACAGGAGGAAAGGUAAGGUUGGAAGAGGACAAGAGGAAAGGAGGAGAGUGGCGGUGGGGUGGGGAGCGGGGGGUGAGCCUCCAGUGACCACCAACACAAUAAAUCAGAUCCUGGACUACCUCAGCCUGGCCCCUUUUUUCUACAGUGCACUCUUAUCAGUUUCCUCCCAGGAAGAGUCCAAUGAUGACAGCCAAGGCAUGGCUGUGGCCUUGGUGGACUUGAUUGAUGGGGUACUGGGAGGGUGUCAGAGGCCUGGGAGGCCCACUUCCUUCUGUUCACCCCACAGAGGCUUACACAGGCUACACAGGACAGGCGGGCACAGACUUUCCCUACCCAGCUGCCUUUGAAUCAGAUGGUAUCAUCAACCUCCCGUCAGCUGGCAGAAGGCUCCUGACUCUAAGGAGUGUGGGGCAGUAGGAAUGGAUGCCUCCCUGAACCUGUAUGACAGCAGGGUGGGGAGUGAGCAGUCCUGAGAGCAGCAGCUUUGCCCUGUGGGAGGCACCUGUGAAGCUGUGUGUGUUGAGGGAGGGGAUGUUGUACAGGAGGGUGGACAGGGACUCUCCCUGCCCUCUAUCAUCUUGCAGACCUGGGCAUGGGCCUGGAUGUAGGAGGCCAUCCAGUCUGACUUCAGGUUGCUGAUGAAGAGGGAUUGAGUAGUUUGAUCCACACUGCUCUAAAGUAGGUAGGCUUGAUGGGGCAAAGGAUUAAGGCUCUUUUUUGUCUUGGCUUUGACAGUCCUUUACCUGGCUAUGCUCACAGUACCUGCCCUGACCCUUGGCUAGGGUUGAAUGCUAGGCUGUGGCCUGAGGACUCUCCGUAUAGGGGAUAGAAACUUAAGAGCCCUAUCCAUUUCUAGCAUUGGCAAGCAGUGAUAUAGGGCCACUGUGACAGUUCCAGAUGACCCUCAACUGGGAUGAUUUUUCCACCCUACAUUUCUCGACUAGGCUGUCCUCUCCUGUGGAUUGAGCUGUGUGCACUCCUGCCAGCCCAGUCAGCCAUCUGCCCUUUCCCAGAACCUGGUCAGCCAGUGUUUACUUCCUCUUUCCCCACCACACAGGCUGUGCUUUGGAUGCAAGUGGACAGUCCUGCCCUACCAGUGGGGCCCCAGGGUUGGUUCUUGGACUGCAACCCUCCUGCAGGGGACCUUGAAGCAGGCCCAAGCUGUGGCCGGCUCUGGGUGCUGGCUUGGUCUCUACCACUUGUUUGCCUUCUCUACCCUCUGCCAUCCCAGCCAGCCUACCACCCCAAAAAGCUGAACUACACACCAUCCCUCCCAUGACACCCUUCACAGUUACAGAGGGAGCACAGAGCUGUGCCUAAGUGCUGAGGGCUGUCUGCCCGCCCGCAACCCCACCCGACUGGAAUGAGCCACCUGCAUCCACACACAGGUGUUUCCUGUGCUCCUUCCUGUUGCCGUUUCUUUCUUUUUUUUUUUUUCUGCUGCUCAGCGUGGCUUCCCCAGCAGGUGGUUAAGGGCCAGCCAAACCUCUUAUACACAUCUCCAAAACACUGGGGGGCGGGGCUCCCUGGGGAUCUGGGUCACCCCCCCACAAGGAGGAACUGUUGGCACCUCAUUAGCUCUGCCUGAGCGCAGGUGCACUUUCCCCCCCGUGUGUCACGGUGGACUCCAGGGUUGGGGAAGGCCCUGCCUGUGCACCGUCUCCCUUGCCUCUGGAUAACGAAAGCUCUGGAGUGAGAAGGGAAGGGUGGAGGGCCAGUUUCUCCAGCCUUGGGUGUGGGCCUCCCUCAGGCCCUCCUUAGAACAGGCCUGCCAUCCUGAAAUCCCACCCCACCCUCCAGUUCCUCCCAUAGAGCUCUUUGCCUUCUGGGGUUAACACACUUAACAUGUGGCACCUCUGGGGACGAGAUGAACCCUCCCUGGAGCCCUGCUUCCCAAAGCAAAACAGGUCAGCUGGCUGUGGAGGACCACGGGGUUCAGUCAGGGUUGUUUUUACAGAGAGGAGGUGGCUUGGGUAGAGGAGGGCCUUGUUAUUUAGGGUCACUGGGCAGCCAUCCUGGUCUCCUGCCGCGCAGGCCCUAGCUCUUCCCCUCUGCAAGGAUCUGCUCUCUCUUACUACCCAGCCCUCAAGGAGCUCCUAGUGCUGUGCCCUCUGUAGGAAGCUGCCAGGGCUGAGGGGAAAUCUAGAAGCCUGGCAUUCUCGGACAGGGUUCUGCUGCCCCCUGGUGGCCAGGAGCUCCAGCCACCACCAUGCCUUUUUUCUCUGCCUGCUUCUUCCCCUUUGCCUCCUGGCAGCAGGGUGCUAGCCGCUGGGGAGCCAUUCCCAGGACUGGCACUCUGGGCCUUCUCUGGGCCAACUCCGUGGUUUGGCUCCAGCCUGGGCCCCUAGCUUCCAGGCCCAGAGCACGCCCAGCCAGCAGGCUGAUCCUCAGCAACACGCCACCACCCUUUUUCUCUGCCCUCUUCUCCAAGCCCACUUCCAGCCCCUGGGCUCUCUUCCACCCAGAUUUCCAGGGCAAAAGCACAUGUCAUUGUCACAGUUGGAGUGUGGGCAUGUCAGAAAGGCCACAGCCAAAGGGUGCUGGAACCAGAAGAUCAGGAGUACACUAGGCCAGGCCAUGUAGGAAAGGCAUUUUGCUUUUUUAUUUUCUGUAAAACUCUGUAAAUAAAAUACAAAACCAAGGGAGGUGAUGGGGCAGAGGCAGGAUGGCCAGGCCCGGGGCACUGAUCUGUGGCAAGUGUGCUGAGCUGAGGCUGGGAGGCACUUGACUGCAGGCACUGACUCUACCAACCCCAAGGGCAAC